rnacentral:rRNA from 1 species
GCGCGAAACUUUACAAUGCUGGCAACAGCGAUAAGGGAACCUCGAGUGCCAGGUUACAAAUCUGGCUGUCGAGAUGCCUAAAAAGCAUUUCAUAGAAAGGGCCGGGCAAGACCGGUGCCAGCCGCCGCGGUAACACCGGCGGCUCGAGUGGUAACCGUUAUUAUUGGGUCUAAAGGGUCUGUAGCCGGCCGGAUAAGUCUCUUGAGAAAUCUGGCAGCUUAACUGUCAGGCUUUCAGGAGAUACUGUCUGGCUCGAGGCCGGGAGAGGUGAGAGGUACUUCAGGGGUAGGGUGAAAUCUUGUAAUCCUUGAAGGACCACCAGUGGCGAAGGCGUCUCACCAGAACGGACCUGACGGCAAGGGACGAAAGCUAGGGGCACGAACCGGAUUAGAUACCCGGGUA